AGUGGUGCUUGCACAUCAAAGGGCGUGGCGAGAGGAUUAUGUUACGAGCCUCUCAUCUGGGGGUUCACAACUGUGAUCUGCAGGCUGCAACUUGCUUCUAAACAGAGCUAAUUUUUCUUGCAUUUUUCAACUGGGAAGUUCUCCACAGAAUUCCUACUUUUCAUAUUUGAAAAAUCAAGAUGAUUUGCUAAUAUUCUGACAUGACAACAACUGGCUAAAAUUGAGGGGUGACCUUCUCCUUCCGAAGGCAUCUGCACCUUUGGUUCACCACAAACCUCACCACUCCCUAAUGUCUAUCUCGACUGCAGACUGAGUCCUCAGUGACUGCCAUGUUGCAGGGCCCCUGUGCGAUAAGUGCAGGGACAUGGAAGUCUGAGACCACAGAGCACAUGGGUGAUCACGGCUGUAAACACACAAUCCAUCUUCCCUAAUUGCCAAGGAGUCCUGCAGGUUAACUGCAGCCUAUCAACUAUUUAA
rnacentral:lncRNA from 10 species